rnacentral:rRNA from 1 species
GACGAACGCUGGCGGCGUGCUUAACACAUGCAAGUCGAACGAAGUGGCGAACGGGUGAGUAAUGCCUAGGAAUCUGACUGGUAGUGGGGGCAAACGUCCGGAAACGGGCGCUAAUACCGCAAACUAACAGAUGAGCCUAGGUCGGAUUAGCGAGGUGGUGGGGUAAAGGCCUACCAAGGAGGAAAUCCGGAACUGGUCUGAGAGGAUGAUCAGUUAAAAUGGAACUGAGACACGGUCCAGACGCCUACGGGAGGCAUCCGUGGGGAAGAGUGGACAAUGGGCGAAAGCCUGAUCCAGCCAUGCCGCGUGGGUGAAGAAGGUCUUCGGAUUGUAAAGCACUUUAAGUUGGGAGGCGUUACCAACAGAAUAAGCACCGGCUAACUUCGUGCCAGCAGCCGCGGUAAUAC